UGGGGAAUCUUGGACAAUGGGGGCAACCCUGAUCCAGCCAUGCCGCGUGAGUGAUGAAGGCCUUAGGGUUGUAAAGCUUUUUCACCGGUGAAGAUAAUGACGGUAGCCGGAGAAGAAGCCCCGGCUAACUCCGUGCCAGCAGCCGCGGUAAUACGGAGGGGGCUAGCGUUGUUCGGAAUUACUGGGCGUAAAGCGCGCGUAGGCGGACUGAUCAGUCAGGGGUGAAAUCCCGGGGCUCAACCCCGGAACUGCCUUUGAUACUGUCAGUCUUGAGUCCGGAAGAGGCGAGUGGAAUACCGAGUGUAGAGGUGAAAUUCGUAGAUAUUAGGUGGAACACCAGUGGCGAAGGCGCCUAACUGGUCCGGUACUGACGCUGAGGAACGAAAAGCGUGGGGAGCAAACAGGAUUAGAUACCCUGGUAGUCCACGCCGUAAAACGAUGAGUGCUAGUCGUCGGCAGGCAUGCCUGUCGGUGACGCAGCUAACGCAUUAAGCACUCCGCCUGGGGAGUACGGCCGCAAGGUUAAAACUCAAAGG
rnacentral:rRNA from 1 species